rnacentral:rRNA from 1 species
AGCGAACGCUGGCGGCAGGCCUAACACAUGCAAGUCGAACGAACCCUUCGGGGUUAGUGGCGGACGGGUGAGUAACACGUGGGAACGUGCCUUUAGGUUCGGAAUAACUCAGGGAAACUUGUGCUAAUAACGAAUGUGCCCUUCGGGGGAAAGAUUUAUCGCAUUUAGAACGGCCAGCGUCUGAUUAGCUAGUUGGUGAGGUAAUGGCUCACCAAGGCUACGAUCAGUAGCUGGUCUGAGAGGAUGACCAGCCACAUUGGGACUGAGACACGGCCCAAACUCCUACGGGAGGCAGCAGUGGGGAAUCUUGCGCAAUGGGCGAAAGCCUGACGCAGCCAUGCCGCGUGGAUGAUGAAGGUCUUAGGAUUGUAAAAUCCUUUCACCGGUGAAGAAAAUGACUGUAGCCGGAGAAGAAGCCCCGGCUAACUUCGUGCCAGCAGCCGCGGUAACAC